rnacentral:lncRNA from 1 species
AGAAAACGAGAAAAAAUCCCAAAAAUAGUAGCAAAUAGACACGUGCAAGCUUCGUUCCACUUUUUUUUCUUUUUCAAUGGGGAAUUAUUUUUUUAAUUGGAUGGACAAUAUUGGCGUGUGAACAGUGUUGUCAGGAUGAACAGUCCUUUCAGGAUGAAUAAUGAACGUGGAAUGCACAGUACUUUAAAAUGAACAAUAUAUUUUAAUUUCAAAGAGUCUGCGAUUAAAACGAG